rnacentral:rRNA from 1 species
CCUACGGGAGGCAGCAGUGAGGAAUAUUGGUCAAUGGACGAGAGUCUGAACCAGCCAAGUAGCGUGAAGGAUGACUGCCCUAUGGGUUGUAAACUUCUUUUAUAUGGGAAUAAAACGUUCCACGUGUGGGAUUUUGUAUGUACCAUAUGAAUAAGGAUCGGCUAACUCCGUGCCAGCAGCCGCGGUACUACGGAGGAUCCGAGCGUUAUCCGGAUUUAUUGGGUUUAAAGGGAGCGUAGGUGGAUUGUUAAGUCAGUUGUGAAAGUUUGCGGCUCAACCGUAAAAUUGCAGUUGAAACUGGCAGUCUUGAGUACAAUAGAGGUGGGCAGAAUUCGUGGUGUAGCGGUGAAAUGCUUAGAUAUCACGAAGAACUCCGAUUGCGAAGGCAGUUCACUGGACUGCAACUGACACUGAGGCUCGAAAGUGUGGGUAUCAAACAGGAUUAGAUACCCCAGUAGUC